ensembl:lncRNA
GUGGAAGCUGAAUUAGUGAGGAUGACUCCUGCUCCUGUCAUCUCUAAGCUCCUCACACAUCUUUACCUGCACAUGAGGAAAAUCACUCCUGUAGAAUGCAGAUGCACAAUGAGGGACGUCUGCAGAGACUGAGAAAGAGUCUCACCACAUCCUGACAUGAGGAAAAAGACUUUAUUGAAGACUACAAUGAGAAAAACUAUCAGACAGCAGACGGCUGCAUUCAAGGUGAGCUCUGAACAUUUGAUCUGGAACAAGAAUUCAAUAACGGCAGCAUGAGCUUCAUUUCAGUCUGUAGCUGCUGAAUUCAUGGAUGAAUCAUCUGGCACUAGAGAAGAAGACCAUCAAACAUCCACGUCAGCUGAUGGAGGUCCAAGAGUCUCACCGAACAACCAACCUACAGAGUGAAGACCUCAAAUCUGAUUGGACGGCCUCCUAUUCAGCCACAUGUGUGAACAAAUGCCUCUAAGCUGAUUUGUUUUCUAAAAUAAAUCUAGUUUGAGUCCUAAUCUAUGCCU